UGCGCACAUUGGUUGUUUACCCAUAUUCA
rnacentral:piRNA from 1 species